GACGAACGCUGGCGGCGUGCUUAACACAUGCAAGUCGAACGGAAAGGCCCUGCUUUUGUGGGGUGCUCGAGUGGCGAACGGGUGAGUAACACGUGAGUAACCUGCCCUUGACUUUGGGAUAACUUCAGGAAACUGGGGCUAAUACCGGAUAGGAGCUCCUGCUGCAUGGUGGGGGUUGGAAAGUUUCGGCGGUUGGGGAUGGACUCGCGGCUUAUCAGCUUGUUGGUGGGGUAGUGGCUUACCAAGGCUUUGACGGGUAGCCGGCCUGAGAGGGUGACCGGCCACCUUGGGCCUGAGAUACGGCCCAGAAUCCUACGGGAGGCAGCAGUGGGGAAUAUUGCACAAUGGGCGGAAGCCUGAUGCAGCAACGCCGCGUGCGGGAUGACGGCCUUCGGGUUGUAAACCGCUUUCGCCUGUGACGAAGCGUGAGUGACGGUAAUGGGUAAAGAAGCACCGGCUAACUACGUG
rnacentral:rRNA from 1 species